AUUGGACGCUGGCGGCAGGCUUAACACAUGCAAGUCGAGCGGUAGCACAGGGGAGCUUGCUCCCUGGGUGACGAGCGGCGGACGGGUGAGUAAUGUCUGGGAAACUGCCUGAUGGAGGGGGAUAACUACUGGAAACGGUAGCUAAUACCGCAUAACGUCGCAAGACCAAAGAGGGGGACCUUCGGGCCUCUUGCCAUCAGAUGUGCCCAGAUGGGAUUAGCUAGUAGGUGGGGUAAUGGCUCACCUAGGCGACGAUCCGUAGCUGGUCUGAGAGGAUGACCAGCCACACUGGAACUGAGACACGGUCCAGACUCCUACGGGAGGCAGCAGUGGGGAAUAUUGCACAAUGGGCGCAAGCCUGAUGCAGCCAUGCCGCGUGUGUGAAGAAGGCCUUCGGGUUGUAAAGCACUUUCAGCGAGGAGGAAGGUGGUGAGCUUAAUACGUUCAUCAAUUGACGUUACUCGCAGAAGAAGCACCGGCUAACUCCGCG
rnacentral:rRNA from 1 species